CAGCAGCCGCGGGAAUACGGAGGGUGCAAGCGUUGUUCGGAAUCACUGGGCGUAAAGCGCGCGUAGGCGGUUACUCAAGUCAGAGGUGAAAGCCCGGGGCUCAACCCCGGAACUGCCUUUGAAACUAGGUGACUAGAAUCUUGGAGAGGUCAGUGGAAUUCCGAGUGUAGAGGUGAAAUUCGUAGAUAUUCGGAAGAACACCAGUGGCGAAGGCGACUGACUGGACAAGUAUUGACGCUGAGGUGCGAAAGCGUGGGGAGCAAACAGGAUUAGAUACCCAGUAGUCCCUGUCUCUUAUACA
rnacentral:rRNA from 1 species